GCACUGGCAGAACGUUAAACCGCUCAAGUUCUUUAUAUGUAGUCACCAUCAAAAGCGAUGCUAAAACUACCGACAGUGC
rnacentral:sRNA from 16 species